CAACUGUCAAACUAUUUGUAGGACGGUUGCUGAAAACCUGCAUUAAUCAUUAUUACAAUCGCAAUUGUUGUGAUUGGCUGAAUUUGUGGUAUUCUUGUUGCAACAAUGUAUUGUAGCCAAUACUGAACGAGUGUCAACCAAUCAAAGGUGAGUGCG